ACGUACACUCCUACGGGAGGCAGCAGUGGGGAAUAUUGGACAAUGGGCGCAAGCCUGAUCCAGCCAUGCCGCGUGAGUGAUGAAGGCCCUAGGGUUGUAAAGCUCUUUCACCGGUGAAGAUAAUGACGGUAACCGGAGAAGAAGCCCCGGCUAACUUCGUGCCAGCAGCCGCGGUAAUACGAAGGGGGCUAGCGUUGUUCGGAUUUACUGGGCGUAAAGCGCACGUAGGCGGACUAUUAAGUCAGGGGUGAAAUCCCGGGGCUCAACCCCGGAACUGCCUUUGAUACUGGUAGUCUUGAGUUCGAGAGAGGUGAGUGGAAUUCCGGGUGUAGAGGUGAAAUUCGUAGAUAUUCGGAGGAACACCAGUGGCGAAGGCGGCUCACUGGCUCGAUACUGACGCUGAGGUGCGAAAGCGUGGGGAGCAAACAGGAUUAGAAACCCGGGUAGUCCCAUG
rnacentral:rRNA from 1 species